UCUGGUUGAUCCUGCCAGUAGUCAUAUGCUUGUCUCAAAGACUAAGCCAUGCAUGUCUAAGUCCAAGCCGUGUCUAACACGGCGAGACCGCGGACGGCUCAUUAAAUCAGUCGUUGUCCAAAUGGGCCAGUACUAAGUACUUGGAUAACUGUGGUAAUUCCAGAGCUAAUACAUGCAACCUAUAGCUCCGACGGGGUCAAACCCGGACGAGUGCUUUUAUUAGACCAAACCGCUGAGGGCGUUCGCGUCCUGUGAGGCAAUGUGGUGACUCUGGAUAACCUUACUGACAAGCGCAGAGUACCUCUCGCAAGAGAGGACGGCGCUGCCACUUUCGAGUGUCUGCCUUAUCAGCUUUCAAUCGCUCGCUACACGCGACCGAUGGCUUUGACGGGUAACGGGGAAUCAGGGUUCGAUUCCGGAGAGGCAGCCUGAGAGACGGCUACCACGUCCAAGGACGGCAGCAGGCACGCAAAUUACCCAAUCCCAGCACCUAGCUCUGGGGAGGUAGUGACGAAACAUAACGAAGCGUGCGCCCUUAACGGGUCUCGCUAUCGGAAUGAGCACUCUCUAAACACCCUGCAGAGAACCUACUGAAGGGCAAGUCUGGUGCCAGCAGCCGCGGUAAUUCCAGCUUCAGUAGCAUAUAUUAAAGUUGCUGCGGUUAAAAGGCUCGUAGUUGAAUGUCUAACUCGACCGGUGCGCUGGUGACGUUGGCGGGCUGUAGCCUUCGGUUGCAUGCCCUCCCGUCCUUGUAAUCCACGCCCGGAAGAGUACUGGGGUGGGUGCUGGCACUGGUGCUGUCUGCGUGUCUCUGCCCUCACGGGUAUUUUCGCGCAACACCCAGCCGCUCUCCCCACCCGGUCACCCUGAGUAAAUCAGAGUGUUCAAAGCAAUCCCAAGGGCUUAACGUUCUGAAACAGCCGAGAGCCGUGCGUGUGUUAAGGGUCUCGUCCCUGGCGCCCACCUCUUACGCUGGACUGUCUUGGUUUUGCAUGGUAUGUCGAAAGAAGACACCGGGCGCUGGCUACGCCUCGCUCGCAGUGUCUUGCACUGCGCAGCGGUAACAGCCAGCCCCGGUGUAAUGAUUAAAAGGGCUUGUCGAGGGCAUUGGUAUUGCGGAGCGAGAGGUGAAAUUCUAUGACCUCCGCAAGACCUCCUGAAGCGAAAGCGUCUGCCAAGGAUGUUUUCAUUAAUCAUGAACGAAAGUUAGAGGAUCGAAGGCGAUCAGAUACCGCCCUAGUUCUAACCCUAAACGAUGCCAACCACCAAUCCGACGAGUACCCUUUCUGACGGGCUCGGCGGGCAGCUCUUACCUUACGGGAAACCAGAGUCUCUGGGUUCCGGGGGGAGUCUGGUUGCAAAGCUGAAACUUAAAGGAAUUGACGGAAAGGCACCACCAGGCGUGGAGCCUGCGGCUUAAUUUGACUCAACACGGGCAAGCUCACCAGGCCAAGACUCUAGCAUGACUGACAGAUUGAGAGCUCUUUCUCGAUUGGGAGGAUGGUGGUGCAUGGCCGUUCUUAGUUGGUGGAGUGAUCUGUCUGGUUAAUUCCGAUAACGAACGAGACUCUCCCCUGCUAACUAGUCGGUUGGAUCUUUCUAGCGAGUGUGGCUGAGGAGAGGAUUGCUGUGGCUCUUGCAGGCGUCUGGGGUUAGGUGGGGGAUGCCGUGUCUGUCGCCCUCGCGGUGUGUGGGCACGCUCUCUCCCUUCCUCGUUCGUCUCAUGGGUCGCACACCCCGACUCUCCCACUCUAAGUCCACCGGCCCGACAAGGUCUUCUUAGAGGUAUAAACGGCUCUGAAGCCGUGAGAGAUUGAGAGCAAUAACAGGUCUGUGAUGCCCUUAGAUGCUCUGGGCCGCACGCGCGCUACAAUGCUGGGUGCAUCGGGUGUUAAAGUUCCCGCUCCGCAAGGCAGCGGGUAACCCCUGAAAACCCUUCUGAGAGACAGCGGAGUUGGGCUCUGCCCUCUCCCUGUAACACAGAGAAGCGUGCUUGGGCCUAAGGCUUGAAACUAUUCCCUACAAACGAGGAAUGCCUAGUAACGGCGGGUCAUUAGCCCGCCGUGACUGAGUCCCUGCCCUUUGUACACACCGCCCGUCGCUACUACCGAUUGGGUGUACCAGUGAAAGCCUUGGACUGGCGGAGAUACACUUCGUGUGUUUGUCUCUCGACUGAAAGAGGUCCGAACUGGUGCACCUAGAGGAAGUAAAAGUCGUAACAAGGUUUCCGUAGGUGAACCUGCGGAAGGAUCAUUA
rnacentral:rRNA from 1 species